rnacentral:lncRNA from 12 species
UAGAUCUAUUGCCUUUCCAUUGGGCUGGCUGAAACGCUGCGGACUGCGACCAGUCUCUUAAAAAGAAGAACAAAAAGAGGAAGAAAGACCUUGAGUGGACCCCAGGACAAAGCACUUUGGGCUCGGCAAGAAGGGACGCGCGGGAGCGCUGGCUCCGAACCGGAGUGAUCUCGGGUGCCCAAGAGCGCCCAUCCAGCGUGCGGACCUCUGAGGGGAUCCAGCUCCAUUAGACACGAGUGACCUUUUAAAUCUACGCCCACCCUUUACCUGCAAGAGGACUGCAGCAGGAGAGUUUCAGAAGGCUGCCUCCCCAGAUCCCGGCCCGGAGCGCGGCAGCUCGCCCCUGCGGCACGCCCGGCCAGCCUGCGCCCGCACUCAGCCUGCGAGGAAAAAGCCUGGAUCCGAAAGGAUGGGGGAGAACAAAGAGCCUUUGGAAGACGUCGCUGUUAUCUCAUUGUCUGUGUGAUUGGGGGAGCUGCGAUACUCCCAGAACAUUCUCUGUGGAAAUGUGCAACAACCUGCUCGCCCCUGCAGAGAGAAGGCAGCCUUUUCAUCAUGCAAAGUGCAGGCACGGUGCUAUCCCUCAAGUUCCAGAAGGCAAGUUUGGCCAAAGGACAGAAAAGAAAGCAGCUUCUCUGGCCCCUGAACCUUAGCCAGUGGUGUCCUAAGGGGCAGUGGCAGCCAUUGCCUUCAAAACAGACCAGCUUCCAAAUGGUGCCUCCUUGGGGUAUAAAUCCCCUUGCCUCUUCCCUCCCUCUUUCCCCAAGAAGGCUGCUCUUGUGUUAGGGGGAGGGGGCACGGUUUAAGCCUCCGAUGACCAACCCUUUGCCCCAUGGUUAUCCAUAAUACCGAGAUUUGUCUCUGUAAUUGCUUCUCCCUAAGUCCAUCAGACAUAGCCGUGUCCUUUCACUAAUGUGCCUAUUGGUCAGUACAAUCUCCAGACGCCUCCCCCAAGUAAUGGCCCUUUUAGGUGGAAACCUAACACGCUUCUCCCUGAGAGCUUAAACCACAGGCACCAUGGACAAGGCCCGCCAGGUUCCUGCUGCUGAUAAACUAGGAAGGGAGAAGCAUAUUUUUUAUUACUUAUGUAAACUCUUGUUCCAGAAAGCUUUAAUGGGUGUGGGAAUGUUCUACAUUUGCGGGGUCUGUGUGCACGGGUGUGGGGGUUUUCCAGUGUUCACCAGGUCUCAUUAGGAGAUGCAUUUUUAUGUGGGGCUCUAAUGGCCGAAAAUGGAAUGGCGGAGAUGAAUGCAUCACUCUGCCCCUGGUGUAAUUUCAAGGCCCCUUUUGUGUUCACCAAAUAGAGGCAUCUGAGUGAAGGUCAGUCCUAGCUUCUUCCCUUCUGCUAUAUUCAGGGACUGUUUGUACCUAGUGAUAUUUAUGUAAGAAAACUGAAGAUUUAUGGUCACCCAAGGCAUUUCUUUAACUCUCAAUAUCAUCAUCUACUUGAGUCCCUCUAAUUACAUCCUAUGCAUUAAACGAAGGAGAAAAUAUUUUUAAAACAUUGGACAUGUUGAGGUUUGCUGACUGAAUAUGCUAAGAAGGCCCCCAUGAGUCCACACACAUCACCAUCAUUAUGGUCCCCAUGACUAUGGGAGCUCCUAUGUUGCUCGAGGUGACUGUACCAGAUAUAUUAAGAUAAUACUAUUUCUCCUGCCAGAGACGGCCCAGACCCAUAUCUCUGUUUAAGCAGAAAAGAAACUGAUCUUUUAACAAAAGCCAAGGGAAAUUCCUCUAUCAUUUCUAUCACCAAAGGAUGGGGAUCAGGGACAGUUUUUGUGGCUGCAUGAGGAGCCUUAGCCAGAGAACUGAGUAACUGGGCAGAGGGGUGCUUUCCCAGCAGGCAUAAGCCCAUAUACACACGUAUAUACAUAUAUUUUUCUCUCCUAACUAUAUCCAUUGCUUACAUUUAUAAGAAAGCAUUUAAACACAACACACAUAUCUAUCUAUACUGUCUCCACAAAGACAUAAUUUUCUCUUUCCCACUAUUGAGCUUAUGUAAUACCCCCACCCCUUGUUCCAAGCUUAGAAUGGAGUACUCUGGGGGCAGCUGCAAAGCACUCUCCCUAGGACAGAUGGAGCCUCCCUUCCUCAUCUACUCUGUGGGUGGUUUUAAAGCCCCAUGAGUCAACUGGGACUGGGCUGUGCUGGUGGUAUGUGUGUUUGAGGCUUCCCUCAUUGAUUCAUGGUGAUGAGUAUGUCAAUAACAACAAUUAUGAGAAUUAUGAUAUCUAAUAAAGAUCUUUUUUCUUCCA